UUAAGUUCAGCGGGUAUCCCUACCUGAUCCGAGGUCAACCUGAAAAAUAGAGGGUUCUGGCAGGUGCCGCCCGGGGAUCUGUAGCGAGGAGUAUUACUACGCUGAGAGCCCGGCCGUACCGCCACUGCUUUUGGGGCCCGCCAACCGGCGGUGCCCAAGACCAGCGAGCUGGAUUGGUUAUAAUGACGCUCGAACAGGCA
rnacentral:misc_RNA from 1 species